rnacentral:rRNA from 1 species
CAGCCGCCGCGGUAAUACGUAGGGCGCAAGCGUUGUCCGGAAUUAUUGGGCGUAAAGAGCUCGUAGGCGGUCUGUCGCGUCUGGUGUGAAAUCCCGAGGCUCAACCUCGGGCUUGCAUCGGGUACGGGCAGACUAGAGUGCGGUAGGGGAGACUGGAAUUCCUGGUGUAGCGGUGGAAUGCGCAGAUAUCAGGAGGAACACCGAUGGCGAAGGCAGGUCUCUGGGCCGCAACUGACGCUGAGGAGCGAAAGCAUGGGGAGCGAACAGGAUUAGAGACCCCAGUAGUCCCUGUCUCUUAUAC